rnacentral:rRNA from 1 species
GCGUGYWUAACACAUGCAAGUCGAACGCUGAAGGCCCAGCUUGCUGGGUUGGAUGAGUGGCGAACGGGUGAGUAACACGUGAGUAACCUGCCCCCUUCUUUGGGAUAACGGUCGGAAACGGCUGCUAAUACCGGGUAUUCACUGUCCUUCGCAUGGGGGGUGGUGGAAAGGUUUUUUCUGGUGGGGGAUGGGCUCGCGGCCUAUCAGCUUGUUGGUGGGGUGAUGGCUUACCAAGGCUUUGACGGGUAACCGGCCUGAGAGGGUGACCGGUCACAUUGGGACUGAGAUACGGCCCAGACUCCUACGGGAGGCAGCAGUGGGGAAUAUUGCACAAUGGGCGAAAGCCUGAUGCAGCGACGCCGCGUGAGGGAUGGAGGCCUUCGGGUUGUAAACCUCUUUCGCUCAUGGUCAAGCCGCAACUCA